rnacentral:tRNA from 1 species
GCGGGUGUCGUAUAAUGGUAUUAUCCCAGCUUCCCAAGCUGAUGACGUGGGUUCGAUUCCCAUCACCCGCUCCA